rnacentral:rRNA from 1 species
ACGAACGCUGGCGGCGUGCCUAACACAUGCAAGUCGAACGAAGCAUUUAAGUGAAUCUCUUCGGAGUGAAGCUUUAUGACUUAGUGGCGGACGGGUGAGUAACGCGUGAGUAACCUGCCUUUCAGAGGGGGAUAACAGUUGGAAACGACUGCUAAUACCGCAUAAUGUGUCAAGGGGGCAUCCCCAUGACACCAAAGGCCGGGCAACCGGUCACUGAAGGAUGGGCCUGCGUCUGAUUAGCUAGUUGGUGGGGUAACGGCCCACCAAGGCGACGAUCAGUAGCCGGUCUGAGAGGAUGAACGGCCACAUUGGGACUGAGACACGGUCCAAACUCCUACGGGAGGCAGCAGUGAGGAAUAUUGGUCAAUGGGCGAAAGCCUGAACCAGCCAAGUCGCGUGAAGGAUGAAGGUCCUAUGGAUUGUAAACCGCUGUUGAUAGGGAAGAAGAAAGUGACGGUACCUAUCGAGGAAGUCACGGCUAACUACGUG